AACUCUAGGACUAGUAAUUCGAGUUCUAUGUAUCUUAUAAACUCUAUGAAUGUCUUGAAUGUCUUUUAUUGGGACUUAACUGACCCUUUAAACUUUAUACAACUUUCAGCAACGGAUCUCUUGGCUCUCGCAUCGAUGAAGAACGCAGCGAAAUGCGAUAAGUAAUGUGAAUUGCAGAAUUCAGUGAAUCAUCGAAUCUUUGAACGCACCUUGCGCCUCUUGGUAUUCCGAGAGGCAUGCCUGUUUGAGUGUCAUUAAAUUCUCAACUUCAAAAGCUUUGUCUUUUUGAAGCUUGGAUGUGAAGGUUGCUGGCGUCUCAGAUGUUCAGCUCCUUUGAAAUGCAUUAGUGGACCCGUUUGUGUUCAUCCUUAGUGUGAUAAUUAUCUACGCUAUGGYWUUGRAUGCAUGCUCAUUAGAAYUUUCGAGCUGUCNUACAGUCUCGGURUGGAGAGUUGCAUUAAUUUGCUCUUUCUGUCUWUUGAGURGGCUUGUCUGCUUCAAACCGUCUGCAGAUGUAGACAAUUUUGAACCAUUUGACCUCAAAUCAGGUAGGACUACCCGCUGAACUUAAGCAUAUCAAUAAGCGGAGGAAAAGAAACUAACAAGGAUUCCCCUAGUAACUGCGAGUGAAGAGGGAAAAGCUCAAAUUUAAAAUCUG
rnacentral:rRNA from 1 species